UGAGGAAUAUUGGUCAAUGGGCGCAAGCCUGAACCAGCCAAGUAGCGUGAGGGAAGACUGCCCUACGGGUUGUAAACCUCUUUUGUUUGGGAAUAAAGUGCGGGACGCGUCCCGCAUUGCAUGUACCAUUUGAAUAAGGACCGGCUAAUUCCGUGCCAGCAGCCGCGGUAAUACGGAAGGUCCGGGCGUUAUCCGGAUUUAUUGGGUUUAAAGGGAGCGUAGGCGGGGAGUCAAGUCAGUUGUGAAAAGCCGCGGCCCAACCGUGGUCGUGCAGUUGAAACUGGUUCUCUUGAGUGCGCACGAGGACGGUGGAAUUCGUGGUGUAGCGGUGAAAUGCUUAGAUAUCACGAAGAACUCCGAUUGCGAAGGCAGCCGUCCGGAGCGUUACUGACGCUGAGGCUCGAAGGUGCGGGGUAUCAAACAGGAUUAGAUACCCUGGUAGU
rnacentral:rRNA from 1 species